GACGAACGCUGGCGGCGUGCUUAACACAUGCAAGUCGGACGGCAGCACAGAGGAGCUUGCUUCUUGGGUGGCGAGUGGCGAACGGGUGAGUAACGCAUCGGAACGUACCGAGUAAUGGGGGAUAACUGUCCGAAAGGACAGCUAAUACCGCAUACGCCCUGAGGGGGAAAGCGGGGGAUCUUAGGACCUCGCGUUAUUCGAGCGGCCGAUGUCUGAUUAGCUGGUUGGCGGGGUAAAGGCCCACCAAGGCGACGAUCAGUAGCGGGUCUGAGAGGAUGAUCCGCCACACUGGGACUGAGACACGGCCCAGACUCCUACGGGAGGCAGCAGUGGGGAAUUUUGGACAAUGGGCGCAAGCCUGAUCCAGCCAUGCCGCGUGUCUGAAGAAGGCCUUCGGGUUGUAAAGGACUUUUGUCAGGGAAGAAAAGGAACGUGUUAAUACCAUGUUCUGAUGACGGUACCUGAAGAAUAAGCACCGGCUAACUACGUGCCAGCAGCCGCGGUAAUACGUAGGGUGCGAGCGUUAAUCGGAAUUACUGGGCGUAAAGCGGGCGCAGACGGUUACUUAAGCGGGAUGUGAAAUCCCCGGGCUCAACCCGGGAACUGCGUUCCGAACUGGGUGGCUAGAGUGUGUCAGAGGGGGGUAGAAUUCCACGUGUAGCAGUGAAAUGCGUAGAGAUGUGGAGGAAUACCGAUGGGCGAAGGCAGCCCCCUGGGAUAACACUGACUUUCAUGCCCGAAAGCGUGGGUAGCAAACAGG
rnacentral:rRNA from 1 species